rfam:Azospirillum brasilense Sp245 plasmid AZOBR_p4 complete genome
GUGCGACGUCCUGGACGUUUCCUCCCUAGACUCGAAGGCCAUCGGGGUCCACCCCGGUGGCCUUUUUUCUGCGCACG